ensembl:lncRNA
GUCAGUGACUGGAAGAGGCCAGCACUCGGCGGCCACAUGCCUAUCGCUGCUGGGUGCUCCCUUCAUGCCUGCUGUCUGCAUGGAUAUCCACGGCACGCUCUGCUCUCCACAGGUCCUGGUGUGGACGACGUCCUCACGCCAACCAGUGUGACGGCCAAGUGGCAUGGAGCCACCAGGGGCCAGGAGAGCGAGCUCUGGGGUCUGAGUGGGCCCUGGAAGCAGGGCCUUGGGCUGCUCAGGGUCCCUCUCUGGCUCUGUGCCUGCCCUGCUCCCCCUGCCAGGCAAGCACUGUGGUACGCCCUCCCAGCUGCCCACAGACUGAGCCCAGGGAACCUCUGCUGCUCCACACUGAGCACCUGGGGACAGGAAAGCUGAGCGCUGUGGGAUGGGAAUGCAGCCCUCUGGGUGGCUGCACUGAGGGCACCCAGACCAGGAAACCCAGCCUCACCAUUACCUCGGUUAUUUUGCUCUCUCUGGAAACACUCAUUACAGCUGUGGGGAACCUGCUGGCUCCGUCACCAGCGCUGCGUGAAGGACUCUUGGUCCAGGUGCGGAUGCAGCCGAGCAAAGCACAGUGGGCCGACACCCGCCCCCCUCCAGACAGGGGACCCGGCUCCAGGAGUUGGCUCGUCCUGCAGAGCAGUGCCUGCGGACAGGAAAUCCCCUGCAGCCACAAGGAAGGGGUUAAAGAGGCUACAGCAGGGAGAGGGAAACCUUGCAAAGACAGCACAGAGCCCCAUCCUCCUAUAACCCAGAGAGGGCUGCAGGGCUUGCAGCCUGGCCCACAUUCUGGAUGAACCCCAGCCCUGCUUGGCUUCCUUGGAGAGGAGCCUGAGACAAGAUCACUUCCGGGAGGAAGGACACCUGGCCUGCCUUGGCCUCCUUCCAUGUGGAGGGAGUGUCUGAAAGGCCAGGUCCUAGAGCAAGGACCCCAGCCGUCCAGUGGCCUCCUCUCCUACGGAAGGAGCGCGACACGCGUGGACCUCCAUCACUGCAUCACAAAGCCAAAGUGAUGCCAUUCAGUGGGAAUACUUUAUAGUCUACUUCCUGCUAAUGGCAAACUGAAACAAUCUCUCUCACCUGUGUCAUUUUUGUGUUCCUGCCUGGUUAAAGCUCCAUUCUGCCCUGAGCAACCAAUAUGGACCCAUCCGUGUCGACAGGAAGCAGAGCCAUAGCCCAAAUAAAACCAGAGUCUGCUUCCUGCUGCAGGGCAGGGACGCAGCACCAGGGGAGUCCUGGGUCAGACGGACAGCUUCCUCAGGUGUGUGUCGCCGGAGGGAUGUGUCCUGCACCGCACUGAGCCGCCCUGUCCUCCCUCCUGAGUCCCCCCAGGUGAGGGGUGGACGGCACCGUGGAGACUUCUACCCACUCCGAGAUGACAGCAACCCACCCAAGUUGUUAGUGACCGGCCGAAUCGAGACCUUGGUCUUGCUGGGUCACAGACCCCCUCGCCCCCAGCUGCCCUCCGGGGCCAACUUCUCUCCUGUGGAGACCUCUCCUGGCUGCUAUACCGCUUCUGAGCAGGAGGAAGCAUGCAGGGAAGCACAGAGUGCGAAACAGUGGUGAAGGCACCUCGUCCUCACUCGGAAAAGCGGGGACAUGCUGAUGCAAGCCGCAGUCCUCACUGUGAUUCUGAAUUACCAAGCCCUGGAGAACUGUUUGGUGGAGAAAUUUGACCCAAUCUCAUCAGUGAGGCCACAUGCAUAGCCUUUUAAAAAAAUCUGAUUUAGUGUGAAUGAUCACGCACUUCCCUGCAAUCUGCUGCUGUGCUCGAGUGCGGCACAUUGCUCCAGGCACUGCGGAGGACUGGACGUAAAAACUGCUGUGUACUGCGGACCUUCUACCUCUGGCUCAGGGGCACACGGGAGAGGCAGUGGAUGUGUGGUGCCCGGUUACAACCUCCAGCACUCCAGGGGGGAGCAAGGGGAAGAGCGAGCUCCUCGGCCACCUCUUCCCGAGGGAGGCCGUCAGAUGCUGCUUCUCAGUCCUUUUAGAACAUUUAUGAUGUGCCAUAGUUUUGAGACUCACAGCCUUGCCAGGCAGAGCCACGGAGAGGACCGAGACCAGGGCGGGUCCUGCAGAUGGAGGAUGGGGACCAGGGCCUGUAUCGAAGUCUGGGGCCCACUGCAGGGAAACCAACCGUUUCAACACAGGGCAUCCAAGAGCUAAGGAUCAGCAAUUAUUCAUGAACCUGCAGCACCAUGGCUACCUGUGGAAAAGAAACAAAUCUACACAGCCAAAGCUUCUGGAAUUGCUAAGAGAUUUCCUAAAAUCAACACCAGUAGAGCUCUUGUUAUAAAUCCUUGGGAUUUUUUCAGACUCAAGCAUUUCUAGAAAUUACCCAAUAAUAAAACGUCUUUGAAGAGCCAA